UGCCCGUCACAGGGGGAUAACAGGCGGAAACGGCGACUAAUACCCCAUAUGCUGCGAUGCUGCAUGGCAUUGCAAUGAAAGAUUCAUCGGUGGCGGAUAGGCUCGCGGGACAUUAGCUAGACGGCGGGGCAACGGCCCGCCGUGGCGACGAUGUCUAGGGGUUCUGAGAGGAAGACCCCCCACACUGGGACUGACACACGGCCCAGACUCCUACGGGAGGCAGCAGUGAGGAAUAUUGGUCAAUGGGCGGAAGCCUGAACCAGCCAUGCCGCGUGAAGGACUAAGGCCCUACGGGUCGUAAACUUCUUUAGACGCAGAGCAAUAAGGUCCACGUGUGGACCGAUGAGAGUAUGCGUAGAAUAAGCAUCGGCUAACUCCGUGCCAGCAGCCGCGGUAAUACGGGGGAUGCGAGCGUUAUCCGGAUUCAUUGGGUUUAAAGGGUGCGUAGGCGGCCGAGUAAGUCAGCGGUGAAAGACCGGGGCUCAACCCUGGAAGUGCCGUUGAUACUGUUUGGCUGGAAUGAUCCCGCCGCGGGAGGAAUGAGUGGUGUAGCGGUGAAAUGCAUAGAUAUCACUCAGAACACCGAUUGCGAAGGCAUCUCGCGAGGGGUCAAUUGACGCUGAGGCACGAAAGCGUGGGGAUCGAACAGGAUUAGAUACCCUGGUAGUCCACGCAGUAAACGAUGAUGGCUAACUGUCGGGCCUGCGGGUUCGGCGGCCAAG
rnacentral:rRNA from 1 species